GCAGCUAGGGUAAGGUUUAGGGUUAGGCUUAGGUUUAGGGUUAGGAGCUAGGGUUAGGUUUAGGGUUAAGGUUAGGGUUAAGGUUAGGUUUAGGGUUAGGUUUAGGGUUAGGGUUAAGGUUAGGGAAAUAGGAUUUUGAAAUGGACCACAAGUUUAGUUAUACAAGACUGUGUGAACUGAAAUGGCAUGGACAGCAUUCUGUAUUACCUAGGUGUUAGGGUUAGACUGUAGGCUGUAUUACCUAGGUGGUAGGGUUAGACUGUAGGCUGUAUUACCUAGGUGUUAGGGUUAGACUGUAGGCUGUAUUACCUAGGUGUUAGGGUUAGACUGUAGUCUGUAUUACCUAGGUGUUAGGGUUAGACUGUAGUCUGUAUUACCUAGGUGUUAGGGUUAGACUGUAGUCUGUAUUACCUAGGUGUUAGGGUUAGACUGUAGGCUGUAUUACCUAGGUGGUAGGGUUAGGGUUAGUAUCCCAUUCUGUAUUACCUAGGUGUUAGGGUUAGUAUCCCAUUCUGUAUUACCUAGGUGUUAGGGUUAGUAUCCCAUUCUGUAUUACCUAGGUGUUAGGGUUAGUAACCCAGGCUGUAUUACCUAGGUGUUAGGGUUAGACUGUAGUCUGUAUUACCUAGGUGUUAGGGUUAGACUGUAGUCUGUAUUACCUAGGUGUUAGGGUUAGACUGUAGGCUGUAUUACCUAGGUGUUAGGGUUAGACUGUAGGCUGUAUUACCUAGGUGUUAGGGUUAGACUGUAGGCUGUAUUACCUAGGUGGUAGGGUUAGUAACCCAUUCUGUAUUACCUAGGUGGUAGGGUUAGUAACCCAUUCUGUAUUACCUAGGUGGUAGGGUUAGUAACCCAUUCUGUAUUACCUAGGUGGUAGGGUUAGUAACCCAUUCUGUAUUACCUAGGUGUCAAGACUUCCAUUUGAAUCUAUUGGUUCAAUUCAGACAUUCUCCACUGAGUUAUAUUGUUUUGUAAAUUCAAGACGAUUUGUAAAUUAAUGCAAAACAAAAUCAUAUCACAUUUGUAAACAUGCCGCUUCAAAUGUAAUUUCUUUUUUGUUACGAUACUGCAUUUACACUUUUUUUUCUUGUCUUUAUACUUUAUAAAGAAAUCUCAAUAAAAUGUGGAUAUCCAGUAAA